UAGAACAGGAGAAGUUGUAAUGUGUACAUUCCUUCUCUGAUAACACAGGCAUAACAAAAAAUUAAGUAGGUGUGUUUAUUUCCCACAAUACAGACUGGUUGUUUCAAAGCUGAGACAUCAGACAUACCAGUGGAAUGCAAUCCUGGAACAGCAAGUACAGCAAGUUCAGACAGGAAUUUGCUCAGGGAUCUGGUUAAGAAUAACCAGUCACCAGACUCCAGCCUGGCUGGGCAUAAUAUUAUUGCAAAGGGCUGAUGGCUGCAAAUGCUCCGGAAGAAUAUGGUUGUAUGGGAAUUGUGAAAGCUCUACCCUUGAAAUGAAACUAAGCCAGUAUUUCGUGCCUUCUUGCUUUUUAAAAAACAUAUUAUUGUCAAACUUCUUUGAUAGUCCCACAGUCCCUCCAUGCAUAGCAAAGACUGCAGUGUAUCAAAACACUAUCAGGAUUCCAGAUGGAACUUGAAGAGAUCUUCUAUUUAACCCUGUGCACAUCACUUCAAAUCACUGAUUUCUUUCUUCAUGAUUGAAUUUAGACUGAAGGCACUGAGACACGAGCUGUUAAAUCAUGAGGUCCCACUUUCUACUGGAACUCCAGGAAUUACAGCACCCUAUAAAGUCUCUGCACAAAGCACAACUUAGAUGAUAAAAAAGACCUUUUUCUGUAAAGAAAGGCAAAUUCGGUUUAUAUAUAUUCAUAUUUUCAUAACAUGUAUUUGAAGAAAUACAUUACAUGUAGUGCUCAUGUCAGCUAUUGCUCUGCCAUUUUCUAAAGACAUGAUAAGGAGGUUGCUAUGUUUUGUAAGCAUGGCUUUUUCUGUACACAUCUUAGUCUCUUCAGACAAGUGCUGGGAUAGCAUGAAGUUUUAAACCCUCCACACUUGUUGGAAAACUAGAAAACAUUUUCAUAGGUAAUAAGAUCACAAGGAAACAUUUGUGUCAUCUAAAAUGUCUGAUAAUACAACCCCCCAACUUUUAUUCAAUAAUUGUUCCAAACAUUAUACUUCUCUAUCUCUAUUGUCUGUGUCAAACUGUAUUUGAUAAAAUAUUUAUUUCAUUGUUUGAAGUAUGUAAAAUCCUUUAACAGACAUACACUAUUGAAGAAAGAAGACUGUGGCUAUUUUAUGAUAUUUUACAUUGUGACAGUCAGACAGGGGAAGGGAGAGGCCCUUUUUUAAAUUCAGGUUGGUCUUCUAUGUGUCUCCAUUUCUACCUGAUGGUGCAACAGCUUUCCUAAGGUACCUAAGUGACAAUGGAAAUAUCUGAACUACAUUUUAUUCUUAAGCACAGGCAUAAUCCCUUCUAGUGUGUUCUAGCCUAGCUGUCUAAUGUAGUUUUUGUAAGGUACUGUUACUCAUUAUUCAUUUAUCUGUGCUUCUUUUACAUGAAAUUCUUCAGCAAAACUCAGAAUUCUGCAUCCUAAAUGUACUCUUGUAUCUGACUAAAAUGCAAGCCACUCUUUCUGU
rnacentral:lncRNA from 1 species